rnacentral:rRNA from 1 species
ACGGGAGGCAGCAGUGAGGAAUAUUGGUCAAUGGGCGGAAGCCUGAACCAGCCAAGUCGCGUGAAGGAUGAAGGUAUUAUGUAUUGUAAACUUCUUUAGCAGCAGAGUAAUAAGGGGGUCGUGACCCCCGAUGCAAGUAUGCUGAAAAUAAGGAUCGGCUAACUCCGUGCCAGCAGCCGCGGUAAUACGGAGGAUCCGAGCGUUAUCCGGAUUUAUUGGGUUUAAAGGGUGCGCAGGCGGUUUUUUAAGUCAGUGGUUAAAUCGUGAGGCUCAACCUCAUCACGCCAUUGAUACUGGAAGACUUGAUUGCGGUUGAGGUUGGCGGAAUUCGUAGUGUAGCGGUGAAAUGCAUAGAUAUUACGAAGAACUCCGAUUGCGUAGGCAGCUUACCAGGCCGGCAAUGACGCUCAUGCACGAAAGUGCGGGGAUCGAACAGGAUUAGAUACCCUGGUA